AAGUCGGACGGACACCUUCGGGUGUCAGUGGCGGACGGGUGAGUAACGCGUAGGAAUCUACCCCUAGGAGGGGGAUAACAGCUGGAAACGGCUGCUAAUACCCCAUACAGGCGCGAGCUGAAAGGAGCAAUCCGCCUAGGGAUGAGCCUGCGUCGGAUUAGCUAGUUGGUGGGGUAAUGGCCUACCAAGGCGACGAUCCGUAGCGGGUCUGAGAGGAUGGCCCGCCACACUGGGACUGAGACACGGCCCAGACUCCUACGGGAGGCAGCAGUGGGGAAUUUUCCGCAAUGGGCGAAAGCCUGACGGAGUAAUGCCGCGUGAGGGAGGAAGGCCUUCGGGUUGUAAACCUCUUUUCUGGGGGACGAA
rnacentral:rRNA from 1 species